rnacentral:tRNA from 1 species
GUUGGUGUGGCAGAGCUCGGUAAUGCAAAAGACCUAAGUCCUUUCCACAGAGGUUCAACUCCUCUCCCUAACU